rnacentral:sRNA from 1 species
UCGGUUUGGAACACAGACCUUAUGAAAGCAGUUUUAGUAAAGCAGUCCUCAGUUCAAGCGUUAUCCUGGAUACCCCUUCUUCAUGAGCCUCCUCCUAAGUGCCGCAUAAGUUAAACUCUGAAAAACAGGCCAAAUUCGCCGCGUGAGUGGCUCUAAAAUAAGAAAGGAAAUAUCUAUGUCUAACAAAAUGACUGGUUUAGUAAAAUGGUUUAACCCUGAAAAAGGUUUUGGCUUCAUCACUCCUCAGGAUGGCAGCAAAGAUGUAUUCGUACAUUUUUCAGCGAUCCAGAGCAGCGAUUUCAAAACCUUAGACGAAGGCCAGAAAGUGGAGUUCUCAAUCGAGAACGGCGCUAAAGGCCCAUCAGCGGUUAACGUUAUCGCGCUGUAAUCGCCGAUAAU